UCAAGUACCUCAUGGCCUUUAUGCUUAGGGCUACACACGUGCUACAAUGGGUGGUACAAAGAGAAGCCAACUCGCGAGAGCGCGCCAAUCUCAAAAAGCCAUCCUCAGUUCGGAUUGGAGUCUGCAACUCGACUCCAUGAAGUUGGAAUCGCUAGUAAUCGCGGAUCAGCAUGCCGCGGUGAAUACGUUCCCGGGCCUU
rnacentral:rRNA from 1 species